rnacentral:rRNA from 1 species
UACGGAGGGAGCUAGCGUUGUUCGGAAUUACUGGGCGUAAAGCGCACGUAGGCGGCUUUGUAAGUUAGAGGUGAAAGCCCGGGGCUCAACUCCGGAACUGCCUUUAAGACUGCAUCGCUUGAAUCCAGGAGAGGUGAGUGGAAUUCCGAGUGUAGAGGUGAAAUUCGUAGAUAUUCGGAAGAACACCAGUGGCGAAGGCGGCUCACUGGCCCGGUACUGACGCUGAGGCGCGAAAGCGUGGGGAGCAAACAGGG